CUAUAAACAUAACCUCAAUUGUAUGGCCAAUGUUUAAAUUGGUAACCGUCCCUGACCCUAACCGCAAUUAUAUUUAAGAACUUGUUAUCAACAUUUAACAAAUCACGAUUAUUGAUAAAGCAAAUUUCUCUAUGUUAUUUUCUCAAAUUUGUAUCAUUUUUUGACAAUACUUAAAAAACUCGGUUAAACUGGCCAUUUUAUUAUUUUCAAGGUUUAAGAUAUACCUUAAACCAGGUAUAUCUUAAACCGUGAUUAUUUUAAUGAAAUCUACGUACAAUUCCCAAUAAUACUAUAUACAUUUCAGCUCUUCCAUUAACUUGUUCACCUGAUUUACAUGAUAGUAUUGACUACACUUUUUCUCCUGGAACAUCAUCAUAAUUUCCUAGUAAAAAAUCUAGAUAUUCAGAUUCUUAAGUCCUUGUCCUUCAGUUUGGUUUGAAGAAAUACCGAGAAAAAUUUUAUACGCCUACAAUUGAAGAAUGACAAUUUCAUCUCGAAAAACAUUUGUUUUCACCCAGUAGUACAAUCUUAAACAAUGAGCAACACGAGAAACCCUCAUGGACAGGUGCAAUAUUGACAAUAAUGAAUCAAGGGAGACGAAAAAAAAUUGAAAAAACAAUGUGUUACUGAACCUCAAGUUAUUACUACCUACAACAAUCACUUUUAAAGACUUACAAUCUGAAAUACGGAAGUUGUGUAGUGUUGCAAUAUUACAAUAAUGUAUUAUUGUUAUUUUAUAUUUUAGUCUACAUCCUGGGACUGAACAACACAUGAAUAUAUAUAUACAUAACAACUGCUAUUUGUAACCAACAACUUGAGGUAAUUCUUAUCAAACUUCUGAUUGGUAUUCAUCAACACGAAUCAGGCAUUAAAUAAACCUAUUGUGUCUGAAUCAUAUACAGUUUAAAUUAUUAUAAGCAUUUAUAUUAUGGUUUCCACACAGCAUUAUGGCUUUUGAAAAUGUAUAUCAGCUAACAGUACAUCAUUGAUUUGAGCAAAAUGUAACUUCAUCAAAAAUGUAUUUUGGAGAUGUCAACAAUUAUGAUUACCAUAUUGAUUGUACCUUUUAUGUUGGACUGAUCAUUGUUGAAACGUCUAAAAUGCAAUUUAUCGCUAUAUUUCGUCAACACAAAGAACACGACACCCAGUACAUACAGCUUAAAUUAGAUUUAUAUACACAACAAUAUUGCUUUGGAAAAUGUAUUGGUGUAUAAAUAUGAUAUGGAUAGAAAUUUCAUGAACUAACAGCUUGUGAUGAAAAGCUAUGAUGAAGAUACAAGUUCUGACUUCUACAAUGAAUGGAUUGUUUAUAUAAUAUAUAAA